GCUUAGCAUGAAGUGAAGCACAUACACCUGCUGAGUUUAAGCAUAUAAGUAAGUGGUGGAAAUUAAACCAAAUGGGAUAUCUUUAGUAAUUACGAAUGAACAAGGAUAUGCUUAGCUUGACAAAUGGAGCUAUUGGCUUUGAAUUGUAUUGUGGAAAUGUACUACCAACAGAGGUGCAGGUGCCAGCAUAUUGAAAUAGAGCGUCAAUGAGGGUGAGAAUCCUGUUUGCCAUGUGCAGCCCUUUGUGCACGGUGUAUAUUUGCUGAGUCACACUCCUUGGCAUUGGAAUGCAAAGUGGGUGGUAAGUUUCAUGUACAGGUAAACAUGCAAUUGAGACUGAUAGCACACAAGUACCAUGAGGGAAAUAUGAAAAGGACUUUGAAAAGAGAAUUAAAUGAGUUUGUAUUUGCUGAACACAAAGUAAACAGACUUGAUUUGCUUGGUGGGAGUGUUGCACUUGCUUGACAAGAGCUUUGGGCUGUGGGUGUAAUGGUUCUUUCUUUGCACGCCAGUUUCUAUGUGUACAUCUGAUUACCUUUGCACAUGAAUGAUAAGUCUCCUGUGGGGGGUGGAUUGCAUGUGCAUGUAAUGAUUUGUGUUUUGAUAAAUGUGUCUGGUGUAUGUGUGUGUGUUCCUGUGCUUGGGGAUGCUUCCUUCCUUGGACUUACAAGCCCUGACACACACAUGCUGGCAAAAUGCUUCUGCUUGACCCGUCUUGAAACACGGACCAAGGAGUCUAACAUAUGUGCAACGUUUGAAGGUGGUAUACCUUUGUGUGCAAUGAAAGUGUCAGCUGGGAUGUGUGCACCAGCACCCAAUUAAUUAGCGGACAGAGGUUUGAGUUGGAGCAUAUCUAUUAGGACCCGAAAGAUGGUGAACUAUGCCUGAACAGAAUGAAUUCAGAGGAAACUCUGAUGGAGGUUCGUAUCGAUACUGACGUGCAAAUCGUUCGU
rnacentral:rRNA from 1 species